rnacentral:lncRNA from 1 species
AUGACGGCUUUUAUAGUUGUUCUUGCUGUUCUUAUCUCUUUAGGUGAGGGAGCUGGUGGAUGGUGUCCUGUGGCAGAGGGAGGAGCAGGAGGGGGAUCCAGUCAAGACACAGUCUCCAGAAGUAGCCUGAGCCAAGGAGCUGCUUGCGUGGCUGAGGACCCUGAGGAUGAACCAGACGUUGAUGAAAACAGGAGCUGCCUUCGAGAUCUGUUCUGGCAUUGGAAGCAUCCCAAGGUUUCCAGGGUGUGAAUACUGACUUGUCAACCAAAGGGCACGCUCCUCAUUCUCUCAAUGCCUAUCCUGCCUCUUCCAACCCAGGGUUGUGCCACCAUUUUAUCCAUUAAGCCAGCCCCUGCCUUGUCAGUCCCACCCCAAUACACCAAGGACACUGAACUGGGGUUCUGCAGCAUCUUUGCUGAAAAAAAUGAAA